UGCCCUGCUCGGCAGCCCUACCCAGGGCCGCCGCGGGAUAACGCCGCCUUUCCAAAAUUUUUCCUAGUGGUUUACGCUGUCUUGUAACAGAAUCACAGAAUCCAUUAUGUCGAGAAAGACCCCUAAGAUCAUCGCGUACAACCUGCGACCGAACGCCAUCGUGUCAGCUGGACCAUGGCACCAAGUGACCAGUCUUGUCUUAACACCUGCAGGGACGGUGACUCUACCAACCUCCCUGCGCAGUAUCUAAUCACCCUUUUUAUGAAGAAAUUCUUCCAAAUGUCUAACCUAAACCUCUCCUGCUGCAGCUUGAGAUUAUUUUUGCACCUCUGAGAGUCAGGCCUAAGCUAUGGAGCGCUUGCCUAACCCCUCGUACUCAGGGAACCUGAAAUUUCAAAAAUUUAGGGAACACUGAGAGGAAAAAAGGACUUUCCCCGCCAGGAUGUGGCAGUGCUGCCUUCCAGGGUGCUCUGAGGAGGAAGGAAGUCCCAGCUGUGCGAGGAGAUGACCUGACAUCACAUCCAAACGAGGAGAAUGCCAGAGGACAGAAAAAAAUAAACUGUGAAAGCCAUGUCUGAAAUCAAAACAACGAUGUUGUCAAGACUUUUCUCGAGAAAAUAAUCUGCUUGCCCCCUAUGCUCCAUGCAAGGCUGUGAAUCAAUCCCUCAGGAAUGCCUCCCUGACCAUCCACCUUUCCAGCAGGCAGAGGACAACAGCAAGAGCUGUGCUAAGAAAGCUGUAAACAGAGUGGUUUAGUCUGAGCUUUGUAACCGUAAGCCUUUCUACAAGCCUAGGCCAAACUCCUCCAGUCACUGCACAGUCUGGGAGUGCAGAGAACAUACCUCCCUUUUAGGAUGAACCUGUUGAAAAUCACUGGUCACUCACAACAAACAAAUGUAGCAGCACCUGUACUGACAAGGAACCGGGGUCUUUUGUCACCUUUCAGCUGAUCCAGCCUCGCCCUGGGUGACCUAUUUCUGCCAUCAUCAUCUGAUGAGAAAUUCUUCCCUUUCCAAAACAAACACAGAUCCAGGCUCAGCUCUUUGGACUGUGCCCCAAGCUGACACAGAACACACAGCUUGAGGGGGAGGAGACCUGCCAGAACAGAAACCUUGAAGUGAUGAGCUCCAGUCAACUGCUCCCAGAUUAAUUAUCCACCAGUGAUCCCAUGUUUAACACACUACUUAUGGAUAUUUUUGCUAACAGCUCAACUCAUCACAAUGUUAGAAAAGUAAGAACUUUCCAGGGAUUACAUAUUUGGGCUUUUCUUCUUUAAAUACCUUGAGACUUUUCCCACCUCUGUGUUUUACUGGAGAUGCCAAUGGCACCAAUGCUACAGAGAUUUCCUGAAGUUCACCAUCAAGCAGUGCUCCAGACAGCUACACAAUGAUCAGGCAUCUGCAUGUCACCUGGUCCACUUGUACCCACUCCCACCACCUUACCUACCUGCAGGCACCCUGCAUUUCAAACCUGGAUGACAAAGGUCAGUAAAGAU